UCGAACGCGAAGGAAGUCUUCGGACUUCUGGAGAGUGGCGCACGGGUGAGUAACACGUGGGUAAUCUGCCUUUGGGUGGGGAAUAACGGUCCGAAAGGGUCGCUAAUACCGCAUAACGCAGCGGCACCGCAUGGUGACAGUUGUUAAAGGGGGGGAUCGAAAGACCUCUCGCCUGAAGAGGAGCCCGCGUCCGAUUAGCUAGUUGGUGAGGUAAUGGCUCACCAAGGCAUCGAUCGGUAGCCGGCCUGAGAGGGCGGUCGGCCACACUGGCACUGAGACACGGGCCAGACUCCUACGGGAGGCAGCAGUGGGGAAUUUUGGGCAAUGGGCGCAAGCCUGACCCAGCAACGCCGCGUGAAGGAUGAAAUCCCUCUGGGAUGUAAACUUCGAAAGUCGGGAAAGAAAUCGCCAUGGAUAACACCCGUGGUGGAUGACGGUACCCGACGUAAGCCCCGGCUAACUACGUGCCAGCAGCCGCGGUAAUACGUAGGGGGCAAGCGUUGUUCGGAAUUACUGGGCGUAAAGGGCGCGUAGGCGGCAUGGCAAGUCGGGAGUGAAAGCCCGGGGCUCAACCCCGGAACUGCUUUCGAAACUGCCAAGCUAGAGUACGGAAGGGGCAACUGGAAUUCCCAGUGUAGCGGUGAAAUGCGUAGAUAUUGGGAAGAACACCGGAGGCGAAGGCGGGUUGCUGGGCCGAUACUGACGCUGAGGCGCGAAAGCCAGGGGAGCAAACGGGAUUAGAUACCCCGGUAGUCCUGGCCCUAAACGAUGGAUACUUGGUGUGUGGGGUUCUCAAAGUCCCCGCGUGCCGGAGCUAACGCGUUAAGUAUCCCGCCUGGGGAGUACGGUCGCAAGGCUGAAACUCA
rnacentral:rRNA from 1 species